rnacentral:rRNA from 1 species
ACGAACGCUGGCGGCGUGCUUAACACAUGCAAGUCGAACGGUGAAGCGCCUUCCUUUUUGGUGGGUGUGGAUGAGUGGCGAACGGGUGAGUAACACGUGAGUAACCUGCCCCCUUCUUCUGGAUAACCGCAUGAAAGUGUGGCUAAUACGGGAUAUUCUGGGUCUGUCGCAUGAUGGGUCUGGGAAAGAUAUUGUUUCGGUGGGGGAGGGGCUCGCGGCCUAUCAGCUUGUUGGUGGGGUGAUGGCCUACCAAGGCGGUGACGGGUAGCCGGCCUGAGAGGGUGGACGGUCACACUGGGACUGAGACACGGCCCAGACUCCUACGGGAGGCAGCAGUGGGGAAUAUUGCACAAUGGGCGCAAGCCUGAUGCAGCGACGCCGCGUGAGGGAUGGAGGCCUUCGGGUUGUGAACCUCUUUCGCCAGUGAAGCAGGCCUGCCUCGUUUGUGGGUGGGUUGACGGUAGCUGGAUAAGAAGCGCCGGCUAACUACGUG